CUUUGGGGAGGAAGAGAUGCUGGGGCUGUUUUCCCAAAAAGAAGGCGACAUGAGGUCUCCAGUUACACAGACCCCUAGGGUUUCACCAGAUAAACUCUCAGAGAUGCUUACUCAAGACAGUAAGCCACGUGAUAACAUGGCUCACUCGGGACCUCAAAACGGACCUCGGACCUAAAAAGGAAGAAUGAGGUUUGGCCAUGACUUAGUGAUCCUGACAGCCCUUCUUAAACUGGGCCACACUCUGUUGGGAAUGGAUGAUCACCUUGCAAAAACAGAAAUGGAACAAACUAUUGGUUCACAAAGAAAAGAAUACCAUGUACGUGGAGGGAAUUGGAAUGACUACAACCAUCUUCUUUGGCCUCCAGACCUCUAAACAGAGCUCAGAGGUGAGCUGCCUGAGUGUCCCAGGACCAGGAAACUCCAGAUAAUGAUCCUUUUUCUUCAUUACAAAAGUUAUCUAUAAAGGGCAUGUUUAUAAGCUUUUCAAGAAUGAUUUGAAAUUUCUUGGCUGGGGCCAUUGGUGGAUUUAGAUUUAUCCACCAUCACAGCUUCCCAGCACUGGGAGCAGAGCGAGAAAUGGGACACUGGGGCCAGAGGGGAUGCUCAGAGGGCAGGGCCCGGGCGCCCCUCUCCGGCCUCACCUUCAUCAGCUGUCACGUGGGAGAGGCCAGAAGCCUCGGCUGCCCCUCCAACCCCAGCACGUUAGGCUCUCUCUGAACAGACAGGAGUACAUGGCCACAGAGCAGUGCAGAGGCUCAAAACAAUUGGAAAUUGAUUUUCAAUUACUUACUAAACAGCUAUUUACAUGGUGGAGAGAAAGAUCUGGCAAAUACCUAGCUUCCUGGUCUAGUGUAGACAGACAAACCAGAUAAUCAAGCAAGACAUCCACCUGGGAGUUAAAAUCAUGCAGGCUGGUUGUCUUCAUUGAUCCAGCCUCCUGAUGACAACUAGUUCAAGGGACGAGGCACAGCUGAGCCCACAGGCAUUUGCUGGGCAUCUACUAUGAACAGCAGUGGGUGAGGUGCCCUAUGAGACACAGGAAGAGCUUACCUUCCUGAACCCUAAAAAGAAAAGCCUGGUGUGGCUGCAGUGGGAAAUAGGCUGGCAGCCAGAAGAGUAGAGCUCUAGCCUAUUCGGGGCGUCCUUAAGGCCCAGCUAGCGUCCUGGGACAUUCAGCCCUCCCAGCUGGUCUCGGGACCUCUGUGCCUGCUUUCCCCAGGGCCCU